UUUGCGGCGGCCAUGGCCCAGGUGAGACGCCCGGUCCCAUUCCGAACCCGGAAGCUAAGGCCUGGCACGGCGAUGGUACUGCACCCGACAGGGUGUGGGAGAGUAGCACGCCGCCGCAUCC
rnacentral:rRNA from 1 species